CGGACCGGCCCUCGGCAUUCUUCGCUCUGGUUUGCCGUUGAAGGCUUCUCGUACACUCUGUGAUUGUCAGUGAGAUUUGAUGAAGGCAUCAGGAGUACGGUCAUGUUUACCCAAGGACUGAUGUCACCCUGAUAGAGCAGAGGAGGUGGGACUCGUCUACAUCUCCCCUCUGUCCCCGUGCAUCUGCCUGUCUCUCCGGACGUGUCAUGGGAUGUGAUGAUAACAGGGUUUGCGAGCGGAGUUCGGCGGCCAAAUCUUCCCCGGCCAUCUUGCACAGCUCACGCUGUUCAAACAGACUCCAUGAGAGGGGCGGCGUAAACCCUGUGUGGGCUCAUGGCUGUCUGUCCUUGGUGCUUCGUCAGACUUGGAUGAGCCCCGGGGACUUUCAGAUUUCUAUCUCCGCUCUGCAUCUAUUGAAAACAUGCUUUGGUUGUCUGGAGAAGGUAAAAAAAAAGACAACAAAUACGACAUUCCUCCAUCCAGUCACCCGAGCA